rnacentral:sRNA from 1 species
UGCAAACGACUAAAUAGUGGUCCGAAUC